GCUGCUGCUGCUGCUGCUGCUGCUGCUGCUGAUGCUGCUGAUGCUGCUGCUGCUGAUGCUGCUGCUGCUGAUGCUGCUGC
rnacentral:sRNA from 1 species